UACGUAGGGUGCAAGCGUUAAUCGGAAUUACUGGGCGUAAAGCGUGCGCAGGCGGUUAUGUAAGACAGAUGUGAAAUGCCCGGGCUUAACCUGGGAACUGCAUUUGUGACUGCAUGGCUAGAGUUUGGCAGAGGGGGGUAGAAUUCCACGUGUAGCAGUGAAAUGCGUAGAUAUGUGGAGGAACACCGAUGGCGAAGGCAGCCCCCUGGGUCAAGACUGACGCUCAUGCACGAAAGCGUGGAGAGCAAACAGG
rnacentral:rRNA from 1 species